CUCCAUAAGGGGAAGUAUUACCCCUUAUGGAAAUCGUGUAGCGUGUAGCA
ncrna:unclassified sequences ssNA-helicase RNA